AUGGUCUCAGGAUUGAAGGGAUAAACAAGGAUGUACCCCUCACAGGGUCACUGUGUGGAUAUCCUGCUGCUGAGAAGGCCUCAGGAGUUGAUAAUGUCCUAAAAUCAUUAACACUUCAAAUGUGAAACAGGGCAAGAGUACCAGGGUGGGAGUGUCAAACUCCAACACACCUCUGGGAUUUGUCCCUCUUCCAAGGCCUCACCCUUGGUCUCACCCUCCCAUUUCUGAGAAUACCAUCUUCCUUUGAUCUCUGCACAUCCUUCACUUCUGCCCUGGAAGUGAGCUGUCUGACCUUCCCAUUGUCCUUCCCCAGGAAAAUAGGCCUUGAAUUUCCUCCUGUGUUUCCUCCCUCAGCUGUAUUGUGGGGCUUUAUUCAGUGCCCAGUGAGUGCUUCCUUCCAAGGUCCCCAUGUCAUCCUGUGACAAGUUCUGUGACCUGAUUUUCAGCACUGUCCUCCAGGAAGACAUUGUCUCUGAAUCUUCAGCAUCUUCUCAACCUGUCUAGAAAGGACUCAUCAACUCACCAAGAACCAAAGGUUUUCUCUAUAUUUCCAACUCCCUAUGCCAUACCUGAGCGAACUCUACCAUGAAUAACACUUUCUUCUACCUGGUCAAUAAAUCACGUAUCUUGCAAUUA